rnacentral:tRNA from 1 species
UACGGUUGUGGCGAAAUUUGGUAUCCGCGAUUAGUUUAGGUCUAAUUGUCUCACGACAUGAGGGUUCGAGUCCCUCCAACCGUAA